GGCGGCGCUGCUUAACACAUGCAAGUCGAACGAUGAAGCCUUUCGGGGUGGAUUAGUGGCGAACGGGUGAGUAACACGUGGGCAAUCUGCCCUUCACUCUGGGACAAGCCCUGGAAACGGGGUCUAAUACCGGAUAACACUCUGUCCCGCAUGGGACGGGGUUAAAAGCUCCGGCGGUGAAGGAUGAGCCCGCGGCCUAUCAGCUUGUUGGUGGGGUAAUGGCCUACCAAGGCGACGACGGGUAGCCGGCCUGAGAGGGCGACCGGCCACACUGGGACUGAGACACGGCCCAGACUCCUACGGGAGGCAGCAGUGGGGAAUAUUGCACAAUGGGCGAAAGCCUGAUGCACCGACGCCGCGUGAGGGAUGACGGCCUUCGGGUUGUAAACCUCUUUCAGCAGGGAACAAGCGAAAGUGACGGUACCUGCACAAGAA
rnacentral:rRNA from 1 species